CACACACACACACACACACACACACACACACACACACACACACACACACACACACACACACACACACACACACACACACCAUUAUUCCACAUUAUUAUUAUUAUAACAGUGUUCCUAGUGUUAUUAGUAUAAACUUUAUAAUUCUUUAAUACCCACAUUAUGACUUUAUUAUCUGAAUAUUUUUUGUUUAUUAUAGGCACAGGCUCCCCGUGACCCGAGAAGUUCGGAUAAGCGGUAGAAAAUGACUGACUGACUGACUAGACAAUAAUUAACUCACUUUAACAUAUUAACCAGUAUAUACCAGAGAAUUAUAUAAAUCAUGAGAAAACAAAUCUUUUUAAAAUCUCUUUAUUUAUUUCAGAUCUGCACUGAUGACCUUGAGUUCUACAGCAGUUUGUGUGAAACAUCACAAUGAUUCUUUAUCUGUAACUAGAUGACAUUCAUUAGAAACUCUAACAAGCUCAGCAGACUUGGGGUCUCAGUAUGAGAGCCGACUUCACUUCACAAACACUCAUAAACUGGGUUCAUUGGUAUCAUGAUGUGUGUUAACAACUCGUUAAUGUGAUCCAGACUUCCAUCAUCAGGUCCUGUGUACAUUCACUUUAAAAAGAACACAUCUCACACUGCUUCUAAUACUUGUUGGACAAACUGGAGAUGUAUUGUGUUAAAUCUGUACAUUUUGCUGCAGAAGAACAAGAAUUCAAGAUAAACAAUAAGGACAAAAAUCAGUACUGUCACUGCUGCCAGGCCCUGCCCUCUGAUUGGUCCACGGUGACAGGAUGCAGCACAUCAGGGAGUUUCUCCUUCCUAAUCCUGCUUCUACUGUGCACCACUGUCAUGUCACCUGCCUUGGAUGGGUCGACACUUUACAGCCUUAAACUAUUGAAGUGUGUCUUGAGAAUCCCAAAGUUCAUUUCUAUCCUGAUUCUAGUCUUGUCCUGAUCUGUUUAAAUCACCCCUGAGGUCCAGCAAUGGCAGAGGAAAUGGAGUCAUCAGGACCUUCUUGCAGGUGAACCCUCUCAGGUGUCUCCAGGUAGCCCAAUGGAACUGAACUACGAUGCAGAAUGGACAGGAACAUUUGAAGAAAAAUGUUUAAAUCAAAUCCAUAUACAUACAGUAAGAGAGUCAGUGUUCAUUCCAAGCUCUACAUGGUGAUAUAGUCUACACUCUCUGAGUAAAUGGGUCAUGACCUGACUCAGGACAUUGGCCUUAAUGCUGGUAGUCAGGACUGAACACAGGUUUGUGUGAACAGGAAAAAAGGGAG